CAUACACUCGCUUCAUAGACCAUUUGACACAUUUUCUUAUUUUGAAGUAAAAAAACAAAACGGAAACAAAUACAAUCACACUGCCUCAUGUGGCCCGCGGACUGCAGUUUAAGGACCCCUGCUCUAGAGUUUCCAAGGAAAGACUCACUAAGUUGGAUACAAGCAGAAUGAAGCCUCAGGAAAUCUCCUUGUACACAUACAAGACUAGUACCAGGGACAUGGUGGGUUUUUCUGGCUGGCUAAGGAACCACCAGAGACCCAUCUUGCCCCAUGGCCACAUGUCCAGGGCUAUCCCACCAAUUAAGAAUACUUCUUCCCCAACUUACCCAAACCUUAUUUGACUCUUGUACCCUCAAAACCUUGCUUCAGUUAGGCUGAUAUCACAAACUUAUUAAGGGCCAAGAGGUGAGUGGCUACUGUGUUAUCAACCCAUAAGAAAUGAUGGUGGGGCAGCGGGCGAUGACGAAGGGACGUGCCCUCUAUAUGAGGUUGGGGAGCGGCUGAAUCGGCCUCUUCCGCCCGCUCCGCCCGCUCCCCCCUAGCGCAGCUCAGCUCACUGCGCUCGCUCCGAGCUCCGGGCUCCUGCAAAGCUAGCGCCACCGCUGUCUCCCUUCAGCCGCCAUCAUGAUUAUCUACCGGGACCCCAUCAGCCAUGAUGAGAUGUUCUCCAACAUUUACAAGAUCCGAGAGAUCGCGGACGGCCUAUGCUUGGAGGUGGAGGGGGAAGAUGGUCAGUAGGACAGAGGGUAACAUUGAUGACUAGCUCAUUGGUGGAAAUGCUUCCGCUGAAGGACCUGAGGGCAAAGGUACGGAAAGCACAGUUAUCACUGAUGUUGAUAUUGUCACGAACCAUCACUUGCAGGAAACCAGCUUCACAAAAGAAGCCUAAAAGAAGUACAUCAAAGAUUACAUGAAGUCAAUCAAAGGCAAACUUGAAGAACCGAGACCAGAAAGAGUAAAACCUUUUAUGACAGGGGCUGCAGAACAAAUCAAGCACAUCCUGGCUAAUUUCAAAAACUACCAGUUCUUUAUUGGUGAAAACAUGAAUCCAGAUGGCAUGGUUGCUCUCCCGGACUACCAUGAGGAUGGUGUGACCCCAUAUAUGAUUUUCUUUAAGGAUGGUUUAAAAAUGGAAAAAUGUUAACAAAUUUGGCAAUUACUUUGGAUCUAUCACCUGUCAUCAUAACUGGCUGCUGCUUGUCAUCCACACAACACCGGGACUUAAGACAAACGGGACUGAUGUCAUCUUGAGCUCUUCAUUUAUUUUGACUGUGAUUUAUUUGGAGUGGAGGCAUUGUUUUUAAGGAAAAACAUGUCAUGUAGGUUGUUUAAAAAUAAAAUGCAUUUAAACUCA